AUGAGGAGCCUCGGCCAGCCUCGGCGGGUGGUCCGGCGAGGUCUCCACCACCAUGGCAGUUCUCCCCACGACGCAGUACACGCGGCCUGCGAACGACGAGACUGGCCCGCGGGUCCGGUGCUCGCACUCCGCCUUGGCCCACUGCCCGUCGCCGGGCCUCGCGACGCCCAGCAGCCGGCGCCCGCCGAAGUUGAUCACCACCGCCGAGUCGUCGCUCAGCUGCGCGCCGAGGCGGAGCUCCCUGGGCCAUCUCGGGAAGACGACGCUCCUGCGGUAGCCGGACAGCAGCGUGGUCACCGGCGGCAGGUCGGCGCGGGCGCCGGUGACCGGGUUCACCACGAACACGGCGUCGGUCUUCUUGUUGAGCAGGACGAGGAGGCCCUGGGACGUGCGCGCGAGGUGCGUGCGGCCGUCGCGGCCGUUCAGCCCCCGGAUCGUCAUCCGGAUGUGCUCGCCGGUGGCGUCGUUCUUGAAGCGGCUGUACCGGUAGCGAAGGCCGCGGGUGACGACGUCCUGGAGCAUGGUCCAGCGCCGCGGGUCGAGGGCGUCGCCCUGCGGGUCCGCCGUGCACCGCCGCCACGCGCUGCAGGACGCGCGGAAGCGGACGUAGUCGGCGACGUCGCGGGCGAGCACGCGGUCCGCGAUCAGCCACGCCGGCCCCGACCCCAGGCUCGCCCAGCCCCGCCUGCAUGCGGCCAGAAAAUGGAUGAAGCAUCGAGCCAGAUGAUGUGCAGACGAGUAGCUUUUGAAUCAAGAAUGCAAUCUUACCAGCUACUCCCUCCGUUCGGAAUUACGGAGGGAGUAGAAGAUUGGUCGGCGGGGACGUGCACCGUCGACUCCGCCGCGGAGGGUGAUCCGUCACCGACGCGGGCGCGCUUAGCUCGGCGCCGGCGAUGGCUUCUCGGCACCUUGGCCGCCGGGUUGCUUGACGGUGUGGAUGCCAUAUCCGGUUUGGGUCGCCGGGACUGA
rnacentral:rRNA from 1 species